ACAACAACAUUCGGACCGUCGGUCUACCGAGCAAUAUCACCCGUUCGGUGGAAGAUCUUCCCUUUGUCGUAUAUC
rnacentral:pre_miRNA from 1 species